rnacentral:misc_RNA from 1 species
AAGUCGUAACAAGGUUUCCGUAGGUGAACCUGCGGAAGGAUCAUUAACACGUAUCCAAACGUUAAAACAACCCUGUGAAUAUUGAAUCUCAGUUCCCCCAGGGCAGAAAAAUGGGCUUCCUCUAGUAAAUCAUUGUCUUAACAAGGUUUUGAGUUAGAGGAUGGCGCACGAGUAGCACCUGUAUUGGGUCGAGCGUUUACAACUAUCCACUCCUGGUGCCCCCAAGCAACCAUCAAUCUGAAAGUGUUUGGUGAAUUGUGCGGUUGAACAUGAUGCAUGUCUACCGCGCCCGACGAAAGUCCGACGCACCCCUAACCGAACAACUGUUAACAAUGGAUAUCUUGGUUCUC